UGUGAGCUGCCCGAUGUGGGUGCUGAGACCAGACCUGUGACCUUUCUAGAGAAUCAAGUGCUGUUAAUGAAGCACCAUCUCUCCAGCCCAAGGGCUGGCGUUUCCAAGCUCCGUCCUGUUCCUCAUCCUCUCACCAACUGCCUCCAUCUAAGCCGAGGGUAAAGCCACAGCCUUUCCAUUUUGCCUGGGUGGAACUAAUCCAGACGCAGGACUCCCAUGGACCAUACUAAGAAGGUUCCAGGAGAAUGGUCCGGCCUUGCUGUGGGUAUCCAGGCAUUGAGAAUCUCCCGGUCAUGAUGGAGGAGGAAGGAGAUUGGGCCUGUGACUGCUGUCCUAGGACAUCCAUCCAGCCUGGAUAUCAGUACUCCGUUCCCUGGCCUGAACCAUGCUGCAGCAGAGGGGCCUCAGGAAGAGCAGGUCCACUCUAGACUGGCCUGAGCCUGAAGGAAGCAGGGCAGGAACCACUGAGGUCUGUGCAAAGCUCCAGACCUCACCGGGAAAACUUUACCAAGCUUCCACCUUUCCACUUGUGCCGGAAGGGAGAGUGGGAGAAGGAAUGCUAUUGUCCUCAACUUUAGGGUAGGAAGAUGGAUCAGGGAACAGAUUCUGAUGGCCAAAGUCACACAGAGACCAGCCAACAAGGAUGGGGCUUGUACCUAAACCUUCAUCACUGGUCUCUGCUAGGACUGAGAGGACCCUAACAUAGACUGUCUCCCCAUAAUCGAGGUACAACUGCUUUUCCCUACUUCCUUCUGGUCCUCAAUCUCUCACUGACUUCAGUGAGUUGGGGAGGGACAAAAGAGCCCUCCACAUCCUGAACUAGGGGUGUAUGUGUCUCCCAGCUGAUCUCCUGUUGAGAAUGCUGUCACCUCAAGAUAGGGACCCUGGCAAGCAUCUGUAUUCCAGGCACCAGGGAAUUGUGGAGAUCCCUGCUGAGCCGGAAAUGUUUUUCUCAGCCCUUUCCUGGUAGCAGUAAGACCUGAUAAGCUGCCAGCUCUGGGAAUUCCCAUUCAAGCAGGCACAGAGUGGAAGGACUAUCAUCCCAGGUACUGUGGAUAUAGCUGUCAUUAAAAGUGUCCACACCACUCAGGCUUUCCACAUGGCUCCUCUACCUUGAUGCUGUGCGGGAUGGAAUACCUUGAGCCUCAUACACACUCCUGUCCACCCCAGCCAGGGUUCCACAGCAGCAAGCCGGGGACCAGACGAAGACAAGAGAGCAGCCAGCCUGUGUAUAAGGCUCUGUCCAUUUGUCCCCCAGAAUGGGGCUCUAAGGGCAGAUUUGGUGACGGGGGAAGGGGAGAGGCUCUCAGCACAGAGCAGUGGCACCAGACCCCUCCUAGGUGUCUUGUCCCGCCCCAGUUCUCCUCGAGGAGGUCUCUGUUACUAGUUUCAGCCCGACGACCAACAGUGCGCACUGCUCUGACCAGUCUGACAGCAACAUGUCUGCCACCACAGGCAUGAUACACAGUGGCCCUGGAGGAGAAGAGGCAUAAAACCAUUCUUGGGCCCAUGAGAUUGGUGGAAACCGGCCACCCUUCCUCUAUCCUUCCAUAAAGUGUGGCACCCAAACAUACCCUAGGCGCCUGGAAGUCAGUCCCGGAUGUCAGCUGGUCAUGGCCUUACUGUAGGCCAUCCACCCAACUAGUGUCCCGCCACAUGCCCAUUCAAAUAUCAACUUGGAGGGCAUCUGAGAAGUCCCUUGCUGGGUCUCCUGAAGUCCUGUGUCUAUCCCAUCACAGUCAAUCAGAUACCCCCCCCAUCUCCCAUAUUAGGGUGAGCCAUUGGCCAAAAACUGUCCUCUGAACACCUCUGGGAUCUCCUGAACACAUCAUCCAGUUCCUUCUUUCUUUACGCCCACCCCCAACCCAACAAGGAACUUUACCUCCCAGGAGCCAUGCUGUAAACAGGCCCGGCUUCCCCACCCUUGAGGGCCCAACUGGACUCCUCAGAGGUCCUUGGCUAUUGAAAUAUGUCUCAGCCUUUCAUGUAGCCCUGCAAACCAACAUCCACCCUCCUGGCUCCUCCUUCUAGCCACCCAUUCCACUCCAGGUCUCUCUAGCUGACUGAAACUUUUCCUCCAUCUACUGUCUGUCCACCUGCCAUUCAUCCAGUCCAUCCACUGGCUGCUGCGCCUCCCUCUCUGGUCUUGGCCUUCUGUCUUGCUGCCCUGGGCCCAACUCCCCACCCCACUCCCACUCACUCCCACCCAUAGCUGGAUAUCUGCAGGUUUCUGAUGUGCACCACCACCACUCCUUGACCUGCCCUUGUCAACCUUGAUUCUUUUGGCUUAUCUCUCUCUACCAUCCAAGUCCUGUCCAGAGGCUGCCUCCUCCCUGUGCCACAGAGUGUCCAUGCACCCUGCACAGGGCCCCUUCAGUUCAGUGUAACUCUCAUUUUCUUUGCUCCCCCGUGGGCCUGACCCCUCCCAUUAUCCCCUGCCAUGUGACCCUGCGAGCCCAUUGAGACUCUUGACACACACUCCCAUACUCAUGCUAUGUCCUGGGGAUACGGCAGGGCCCCAUCCUGGUGGUGUCACUAAGCUGGUGACAGUGACAGUUCAGCAAUGUGCAUGUAGCAGCAGAUGAAUGAGUACAUGGAGGCAAAAGACACCCCGGGUCAGCUUUCCAGCACUUCUAUACCUUGACUUGAACCCUUCCCUUAAGCCUAGGGGUCACCCCUCUUUACAGAGGGUUAACUAAGUUUCAGAAAUGUUAAGGGGCUUCGAGAGCUCGAGGGAGCAGUGCUAUAGUUAAGAUACAAUUCUGCAUGGCCACAAGUUCCAACUCUUCCGACUCAGAUGGGCUCACAGAUUUCAAAUGAUCCAUACCUCCCCCACUUCCCUACCACAAACAAACAAUCAAGAGUUACUUCUUCAAAGCUCAGCAAAGGGGCAGGGCCUGUAGCCCUCUCAGCCUCUAGAAGCUGGAUCUAACAAAGGUUGCUAAACCGGUGACCUCUGGCCAGGCUCUUCGGUCUCAGAGCCUCAGCUCUCUCUGUGUGGGGGAGAAUGAGGCCUGGCAGGUUCUCUUUUAUCCCUCGUGACUGCCUCUGAACACUCCUAGUUUCUCUCUGGCCUAUCCCAUUCAUCUAGCUACAAUAUCGCAAUGCUGCCCUGUGAAUAAAGGCUGGCUUGUGCACACACUUCCUGCUCUACCUCUGUUAGAAGAUGGGGUGUAUGGGAACAGGUACCCUCUCUGGGUUCCGGUCUUGCUUCCUUACCAAAUCUCCAGCCCUCCUAACACUCUAAAGUGCCUGAUGUUGGAAAUGUUCAUUAAAUUUACCGGUUCCCAGUGGUUUACAAAUUCAACACAGUAUACAGGGACAUAGAGAAGAAAACAUUUUAUUUCUUACAAAGGCCUUCCGCACACAAUUGGGUGUUGUGGAACCUGAAUUUACACAUGGUGAUAUUUUGUCCUCUUAUUUCACUAGAGUCAGUCAGCUUCGCUUCCCGUGGCCAGACACUGUGACGUCAUCCCAAGGGCCACUCACCUCCAGAAGGUGCCGGCCUGGGCCAGUGGACAGGCAACGGCAGUGCAGUCAGUCACUGACAUGUACGUAGCAGCUGGCCUUAGACCCGAUGACUUCUCAGGAGUCUCCAGUCUCUGCUGCAGAAGGACUGGCUUGGCUGCUUCCUUGGACUGACCAGGCAGUGCCUCGCUCUUCUAGCUCCUGGGGUCACUAGCUGCCCACCUAGUACUUGUGCUAGAAAUGUCCUCCUGAUGUAUUUUAUUUUCUUAGUCCCAGACUCUUGGGGAUUCUGGCCUCUUCUCAGGCACAUGGGCGAAAGGACUGUAGAUACUUGAGGGAUCCCAGGUGCAAGUCUAGAUCUGCAACUAUGUAACUUCUUGAGGAAAGAUAGAGAUACACCCCCUGGCCUCCCAGCCCUCCCUCCUUUCUUCUCUCCUUCUUUGACCAGCAUUCUACUAGCGUCCAGAAGAGGUGGGUACUAUUUUCUCAUCCUGUCGGACUAGAACUUUCCCCAAGUUCCGGCUUCCUCCUGCCCCCACCAUCCACAGAAUAGACAGAGGCGUGCUGUUUCCUGGAGAGGAGUAAAAAAAAAAUAUGCAGUUAUUAUUUUCAAAAUAUUAUCCCCAUUACAAACACAGUGCUGUGCUCACUCCAUGAGACUCCAAAUGCUGGCAGAACGUGCCGUGUGGAGGAGGAUUCCCCGGCUGCUCAUUCAGACUUGGAGACGUGGGAGCCUUGAGUCAGCGCACAGAGCGAGGCAGCGUGGGAACAGCACACUGAAGAACUAGAGCCAAGCACCCGUGGCAAGCUGUGAUUUCUCUUCAGCAAAACACCAGCUGUCACCAGCGUUAUGGUAGCAGCAGUCCUUCGGACGUCUGUGGAUCCUUCUGGUCUCCCAGCAGCAUCACAGUCCUCGGCCUGCUUGGACUUUCCAUUCCCCAGGAUUGGUGGAAAGACCCAUUUUACAGAAAGGGAAAACAGAGGUCCAGACACAAUAAUUGGUCCAAGGUCAACCAAGAAGUAAGAGGCAUACGCACCAAGGCAAAUCACUGACAACAGAAUCUUCGUACUUAAAGAGUUGUGGUCCAUGACACCCGUGGGAAUCUAAGAGUAAUCCGAUGACACUGGAUCCAGUAGAAUUCCCUCAGGUGACUCUUUAAUCCUUCUCCAAGCUACCAGUGCUUGCCACACCUGAACCAGGUGACAUUUUCCUGGGCUCUCCCCACCCUUGCCUUGCUUUCACGGCUAUGCUUUGGCACUGGGAUACAUGUAGCUGAUGCUAACACAGGAUAUGUUCGGGAACCCAGUUCUUGGGUUGGAUAGCCUGGGGACCAAGCUUUGCUUUGCUCCUUACAAGCAAUGUGACCUUGGAUGAGUAUCUUUACCUCUCUAGGCUUUAGCAAGAAUAAAAACAACAAUUUCCUAA
rnacentral:sRNA from 1 species